rfam:Methanococcoides burtonii DSM 6242, complete genome.
CGGGAUACUAUCCCGUGGGAAUGUGGCUGAAAACUUCAGCUGAACCGUGAA